AUACUUACCUGGCAGGGGAGAAAAAGUGAUAAUGAAGGUAGUUUUUUCGGGGCGAGGCUUAUCCAUUGCACUCCGAAUGUACUGACCCCUGCGAUUUUCCCAAAUGUGGGAAACUCGACUGCAUAAUUUGUGGUAGUGGGGGGGGGGAUUUUUUACCUCUUU